GACGAACGCUGGCGGCGUGCUUAACACAUGCAAGUCGAACGGAAAGGCCCUGCUUUUGUGGGGUGCUCGAGUGGCGAACGGGUGAGUAACACGUGAGUAACCUGCCCUUGACUUUGGGAUAACUUCAGGAAACUGGGGCUAAUACCGGAUAGGAGCUCCUGCUGCAUGGUGGGGGUUGGAAAGUUUCGGCGGUUGGGGAUGGACUCGCGGCUUAUCAGCUUGUUGGUGGGGUAGUGGCUUACCAAGGCGUUGACGGGUAGCCGGCCUGAGAGGGUGACCGGCAACAUUGGGACUGAGAUACGGCCCAGACUCCUACGGGAGGCAGCAGUGGGGAAUAUUGCACAAUGGGCGGAAGCCUGAUGCAGCAACGCCGCGUGCGGGAUGACGGCCUUCGGGUUGUAAACCGCUUUCGCCUGUGACGAAGCGUGAGUGACGGUAAUGGGUAAAGAAGCACCGGCUAACUACGUG
rnacentral:rRNA from 1 species